rnacentral:rRNA from 1 species
GACGAACGCUGGCGGCGUGCUUAACACAUGCAAGUCGAACGGAAAGGCCCUGCUUUUGUGGGGUGCUCGAGUGGCGAACGGGUGAGUAACACGUGAGUAACCUGCCCUUGACUUUGGGAUAACUUCAGGAAACUGGGGCUAAUACCGGAUAGGAGCUCCUGCUGCAUGGUGGGGGUUGGAAAGUUUCGGCGGUUGGGGAUGGACUCGCGGCUUAUCAGCUUGUUGGUGGGGUAGUGGCUUACCAAGGCUUUGACGGGUAGCCGGCCUGAGAGGGUGACCGGCCACAUGGGGACUGAGAUACGGCCCAGACUCCUACGGGAGGCAGCAGUGGGGAAUAUUGCACAAGGGGCGGAGGCCUGAGGCAGCAACGCCGCGUGCGGGAUGACGGCCUUCGGGUUGUAAACCGCUUUCGCCUGUGACGAAGCGUGAGUGACGGAAAUGGGUAAAGAAGCACCGGCUAACUACGU